rnacentral:misc_RNA from 1 species
CUCUCUCUCUCUUAGCCGUUCUUUGUUAUUAACCUCUCCUCCGUUACCAUCUAUGCUUUGAUUUUGUUUUUAGGGGUUCUUCUCUUUCAGAUCCUGUAUGAUCGCCUUUUCUCUCUGAUUCCGUCUCUUCAAAAAAUUUCUGAUUUUUCAGGAUCUGCAGGCACGUUUGUGUUCUUGAAGCGGUUUCUACCCGUUUUGCUUAUUGAGGUGAAAUAUCACUGUGUUGUACCAUCAUCGGGACACUACAUAUUUAAUGUUACAUUAGAAAAUGUUGGAAGGAAACAACAGUAAUCCUCUACUUCCUGUUUUUGUGGAUGAUAGUCGUAUACCCUAUCAGAUCAAUCCUUCAAAUCAGCUGCAGUUAUUUGUUCCAGCUGGAUGUGGUGUUGAUCCAGGGAAUUAUUUUGGGAAUGAAAAUAUGGCCC